AUUAACGCGAAGAACCUUACCUGGGUUUGACAUAUGCCGGAAACCUGCAGAGAUGUAGGCCCCGAAAGGUCGGUAUACAGGUGGUGCAUGGCUGUCGUCAGCUCGUGUCGUGAGAUGUUGGGUUAAGUCCCGCAACGAGCGCAACCCUCGUCCUAUGUUGCCAGCACGUAAUGGUGGGGACUCAUAGGAGACUGCCGGGGUCAACUCGGAGGAAGGUGGGGAUGACGUCAAGUCUUCAUGCCCCUUAAGUCCAGGGCUUCACGCAUGCUACAAUGGCCGGUACAAAGAGCUGCGAAACCGCAAGGUCAAGCGAAUCUCAAAAAGCCGGUCUCAGUUCGGAUUGGGGUCUGCAACUCGACCCCAUGAAGUCGGAGUCGCUAGUAAUCGCAGAUCAGCAACGCUGCGGUGAAUACGUUCCCGGGCCUUGUACACACCG
rnacentral:rRNA from 1 species